UCAGAGUUCAGCCACAUUUGAAGAAAUGUUUUGAAGGAAUCGCCAAACUUGAGUUUACUGACAUUCUGGACAUCACGCACAUGAAGAGUUCAGAAGGAGAGGUCGUUCUGCUCAAAGAAGUUAUUUCCACAUCUAAAGCGCGUGGUCAGGUUGAGAAAUGGCUGCUG
rnacentral:lncRNA from 1 species